rnacentral:rRNA from 1 species
CCUACGGGAGGCAGCAGUAGGGAAUAUUGCUCAAUGGGGGAAACCCUGAACCAGCAACGCAGCGUGGAGGAUGAAGGUUUUCGGAUUGUAAACUCCUUUUGUUAAAGGAGAUAAUGACGGUAUCUAACGAAUAAGCACCGGCUAAUUCGGUGCCAGCAGCGGCGGUAAUACGGAGGGUGCCGCCGUUACUCGGAAUCACUGGGCGUAAAGGGCGCGUAGGCGGGUUAGCAAGUCAGAUGUGAAAUCUUACGGCUUAACCAUAGAACUGCAUUUGAAACUGGUAUCCUAGAGUACAGGUGAGGUAGGGGGAAUUCGUGGUGUAGCGGUGAAAUGCGUAGAGAUCAAGAAGAAUUCCGAUUGCGAAGGCAGCCUGCUAGACCAUCACUGACGCUGAUGCGCGAAAGCGUGGGUAGCAAACAGGAUUAGAUACCCCUGUAGUC